rnacentral:rRNA from 1 species
ACUCCUGCGGGAGGCAGCAGUGGGGAAUAUUGGACACUGGGCGCAAGCCUGAUCCAGCCAUGCCGCGUGAGUGAUGAAGGCCCUAGGGUUGUAAAGCUCUUUCACCGGUGAAGAUAAUGACGGUAACCGGAGAAGAAGCCCCGGCUAACUUCGUGCCAGCAGCCGCGGUAAUACGAAGGGGGCUAGCGUUGUUCGGAUUUACUGGGCGUAAAGCGCACGUAGGCGGACUAUUAAGUCAGGGGUGAAAUCCCGGGGCUCAACCCCGGAACUGCCUUUGAUACUGGUAGUCUUGAGUUCGAGAGAGGUGAGUGGAAUUCCGAGUGUAGAGGUGAAAUUCGUAGAUAUUCGGAGGAACACCAGUGGCGAAGGCGGCUCACUGGCUCGAUACUGACGCUGAGGUGCGAAAGCGUGGGGAGCAAACAGGAUUAGAAACCCUGGUAGUCC